CUACGUCAUACAAAAGUCAAAAGAAGCUCUAAAGACCACAAAAUAUAUUAAAAUAAUAGAGAGGAACAAAUAACUAUAAAAACAGAAAAGAAAGAAAAGACGGAUUGGAAAAGGGGGAGAACAUAUUGAAAAAGAGACAGGACCUUGGACUUUCCAGUGCUAAGAACAUCUCUUCCCAACCUUUUGAAUUGCCAACCAUUAUUUUUAGUUAAAAAAAAAAGAAAAAGAAAAGGAAAAAGAAAUAUCAACUUGGCUAUGUAUGCUCAAUACAAAGCACCCAACCACAAAUCAUUUGAAUCAAUAUAUUCACUUAUGUGUAGGGCAUUAAACAAACUCAUCCUUCAGUGACCUCCAUUAUUUGGAAUAAGCAAAAUACCUUAAAUCGCCUUUAAAUUUGACUCAAAUUAUUAAUAUUCUUCUCGAAUUAUAUUCGAUCUUAAUUACCCCGUAAUUUGACAUUUUGAGGGCCAUUAUUCUCCUAAACGCUGAUGUGGCCAAAAAUGUAGGUACACUCAUUGUCAGAUGAAUUUUUCUAUCUAUAUGACAUUU
rnacentral:lncRNA from 1 species